rnacentral:misc_RNA from 1 species
GCAAACUUGGUCAUUUAGAGGAAGUAAAAGUCGUAACAAGGUUUCCGUAGGUGAACCUGCGGAAGGAUCAUUAAUGAAUAAACCUGGUAGACUGUUGCUGACUCUUUAGGGAGUAUGUGCACGUUUAUCAUCUUUAUCUUUCCACCUGUGCACCUUUGUAGAUUCUGUACAUGUUUGUAUUAACCGAGUUGUGUCCUUUGAUUAGGGCCACUCAGUUGUGUGAGGAUUGCUGGCCAUACCAAAAGUCGGCCUUUCCUUGAUUGUAUCAGGAUCUAUGUUUUUCAUAUAAUACACCCCAAUGAAUGUAAUUGAAUGUAAUAAAAAGGUCGCUUUUGCACCUAUAAAAAUAUAUACAACUUUCAGCAACGGAUCUCUUGGCUCUCGCAUCGAUGAAGAACGCAGC